GACGAAGGGGGCUAGCGUUGUUCGGAAUUACUGGGCGUAAAGCGCGUGUAGGCGGUUGUUCAAGUCAGGUGUGAAAGCCUUGAGCUCAACUCAAGAAAUGCACUUGAUACUGGAUGACUAGAGGACCGGAGAGGAUAGUGGAAUUCCCAGUGUAGUGGUGAAAUACGUAGAGAUUGGGAAGAACACCAGUGGCGAAGGCGGCUAUCUGGACGACUCCUGACACUGAGGCACGAAAGCUAGGGGAGCAAACAGG
rnacentral:rRNA from 1 species